UUCACUGGCACGGGAGAGGCAUGGGGUUCUGGAGGAAAGAACACGGCUGUUGAGGUAGAGCCGGGUGCAUUCUGCUCCCUGUGCCUCAGUUUCCUCCUCUGUAAGAAUCAGAUACUACUAGUAUUAGAUGUGCUGUCCUGAAAGCCAGCGGCAAGAAGUCCAACUCCCUUGAGACAGCCAUGCUGUGAGGAAGCCCAAGCACGCCAUGUGUACGAGCGAGGCGACACAGAGGACUGAGGUGUCAGACACUGGACUACUAGAGGUGAUGAUCCAAUAAAGAAGGGAGUAAACCAAGGUGGGAACCCACAGAAUGGAGGAAGCAAGGGAUCUACAGCAUAAGAGGCAAUGUGAGUCCCCAUGAUGAUGGUGAAUGGAAAUUUCCAGACGACAUCUGUAUAAUGUCCAGUCUAAAUUGAAGAACAUGGAAGGAAGGCUCUGAAAGGAAGGUCUCCAAGAGUAAGAUGCAUAUGACAUAUUGGAGAUUAUGGAAAACAUUGAUAGAAUUGAAGUAGACUUUGUUAGAACAUGAGGAAAAAUUAAUGAUGCAUAGAAAAUCAGGCACAUGGGAAGAAAAGGAGGAAAUGGGUAACUCCAGUAAAAGUGAAGGAGUGGAUUAAGAAAUUUGGUAUGAACAUAGUGUUAAUGUGGUUCUCUAGUAAAUGCCAUUUGUGCAGUCAUGAGCGAGUAUAUAUACUGACUAUCGAUAUAACAUUGUUUUGUAACUAUGUUGGGGGGUAGGGAAUGGGAAGUAGGGAGGUAUAGGAGACUCAGUCCUUAUUUAUCAUUGUAGGAACUCAGUAUAGUAUCUCAAAAUGUAAAAUAAUGCAUUAAAUAUGGAUAGCUCCAGUCCCAUGGUUUUUUUUUUAAUUUUUUAUUGUUAUGUUAAUCACCAUAUAUUACAUAAUUUGUUUUGGUGUAGUGUUCCAUGAUUCAUUGUUUGUUCAUAACACCCAGUGCUCCAUGCUCCAGUCCCAUGGUUUUAAAUACCAUCUAUAAGACUUCCAAGUUUAAGAAGGUGAGGAGAAGACAUUCCUACUUCUUUUUCUCUCAAAAAUUACCUCAAAACAACGAAGAAAAUAAACAGAAAUACAAACUCUAUCCUUGAUGUUAGAAGACACUGCAAUUCUGAACCAUUACAUGUGAAGCUAAGUGGCUAGAAGAAUGACAAAUGACAAAAAAAGUGAAUAAAGAUGAACCCAAAUGCCAGUAGAAGUAUAAUUUAUUUACAAUAAAAUUCACAAUUUUAAGUGUACAUGAUGAGUUUUGGCAUAUAUAUAUAUCUACUACAAAAAAAUAUGAUUUAGAACAUUGCAGUCAGUUCCUAUCUCUAAGCCCCAAACCCCUAGCAAACACUGAUCUGCUAUCAUCACCAUAGACUUGCCUUUUCUUUUUUUUUUUUAAGAUUUUAUUUAUUUAUUUGAGAGAGAGACAAAGAUUGAGAGAGAGCAUGAGUGGGGGGCAGGAGGAGGCAGAAGGAGAGGGAGAAGCAGACUUCCCCACUGAGGAGGAGCCUGAGGACACAGGGUUCCAUCCCAGGUCCCCUGGGAUCAUGACCUGAACUGAAGGCAGACACUUAACCAACUCAGCCACCCAGCACCCCUAGACUUGCCUUUUCUAGAACUUUUCUAG